GACGAACGCUGGCGGCGUGCCUAAUACAUGCAAGUAGAACGCUGAAGGAGGAGCUUGCUUCUCUGGAUGAGUUGCGAACGGGUGAGUAACGCGUAGGUAACCUGCCUGGUAGCGGGGGAUAACUAUUGGAAACGAUAGCUAAUACCGCAUAAUAUUGACUAUUGCAUGAUAGUCAGUUGAAAGGUGCAACUGCACCACUACCAGAUGGACCUGCGUUGUAUUAGCUAGUUGGUGGGGUAACGGCUCACCAAGGCGACGAUACAUAGCCGACCUGAGAGGGUGAUCGGCCACACUGGGACUGAGACACGGCCCAGACUCCUACGGGAGGCAGCAGUAGGGAAUCUUCGGCAAUGGACGGAAGUCUGACCGAGCAACGCCGCGUGAGUGAAGAAGGUUUUCGGAUCGUAAAGCUCUGUUGUAAGAGAAGAACGAGUGUGAGAGUGGAAAGCUCACACUGUGACGGUAGCUUACCAGAAAGGGACGGCUAACUACGUG
rnacentral:rRNA from 1 species